rnacentral:rRNA from 1 species
CUCGUAUGGUCGCCAGAGAUGGCUUCCUUCCCGCAAGGGGCGAGAACACAGGUGCUGCAUGGCUGUCGUCAGCUCGUGUCGUGAGAUGUUGGGUUAAGUCCCGCAACGAGCGCAACCCUCGCCCUUAGUUGCCAUCAUUUAGUUGGGCACUCUAAGGGGACUGCCGGUGAUAAGCCGCGAGGAAGGUGGGGAUGACGUCAAGUCCUCAUGGCCCUUACGGGCUGGGCUACACACGUGCUACAAUGGCGGUGACAAUGGGAUGCAAGGGAGCAAUCCUUAGCAAAUCUCAAAAAGCCGUCUCAGUUCGGAUUGGGGUCUGCAACUCGACCCCAUGAAGUUGGAAUCGCUAGUAAUCGCAGAUCAGCACGCUGCGGUGAAUACGUUCCCGGGCCUUGUACACACCGCCCGUCACACCAUGGGAGUUGGCUUUACCUGAAGACGGUGCGCUAACCGCAAGGAGGCAGCCGGCCACGGUAGGGUCAGCGACUGGGGUGAAGUCGUAACAAGGUAGGCGUAGUGCU